rnacentral:rRNA from 1 species
UGGGGAAUAUUGGACAAUGGGCGGAAGCCUGAUCCAGCAACGCCGCGUGAGGGAUGACGGCCUUCGGGCUGUAAACCUCUUUCGCCUGCGACGAAGCGAGAGUGACGGUAGCAGGUAAAGAAGCACCGGCCAACUACGUGCCAGCAGCCGCGGUAAUACGUAGGGUGCGAGCGUUGUCCGGAAUUAUUGGGCGUAAAGGGCUCGUAGGCGGUUUGUCGCGUCGGGAGUGAAAACGCCGUGCUUAACACGGCGCUUGCUUUCGAUACGGGCAGACUAGAGGUAUUCAGGGGAGAACGGAAUUCCUGGUGUAGCGGUGAAAUGCGCAGAUAUCAGGAGGAACACCGGUGGCGAAGGCGGUUCUCUGGGAAUGACCUGACGCUGAGGAGCGAAAGUGUGGGGAGCGAACAGGAUUAGAUACCCUGGUAGUCCACACCAUAAACGUUGGGCGCUAGGUGUGGGGUCCAUUCCACGGAUUCCGUGCCGCAGCUAACGCAUUAAGCGCCCCGCCUGGGGAGUACGGCCGCAAGGCUAA